UAGAGUGUGGCUCAGUGGCAGAGUGCUUACCUGGUGUGUGUGAGGCCCUGGGUUGGAUCUCCAGCACCAAAA
rnacentral:tRNA from 1 species